GACGAACGCUGGCGGCGUGCCUAAUACAUGCAAGUAGAACGCUGAAGGAGGAGCUUGCUUCUCUGGAUGAGUUGCGAACGGGUGAGUAACGCGUAGGUAACCUGCCUGGUAGCGGGGGAUAACUAUUGGAAACGAUAGCUAAUACCGCAUAAGAGUAGAUGUUGCAUGACAUUUGCUUAAAAGGUGCAAUUGCAUCACUACCAGAUGGACCUGCGUUGUAUUAGCUAGUUGGUGGGGUAACGGCUUACCAAGGCGACGAUACAUAGCCGACCUGAGAGGGUGAUCGGCCACACUGGGACUGAGACACGGCCCAGACGCCUACGGGAGGCAGCAGUAGGGAAUCUUCGGCAAUGGACGGAAGUCUGACCGAGCAACGCCGCGUGAGUGAAGAAGGGUUUCGGAUCGUAAAGCUCGGUUGUAAGAGAAGAACGAGUGUGAGAGUGGAAAGUUCACACUGUGACGGUAGCUUACCAGAAAGGGACGGCUAACUACGUG
rnacentral:rRNA from 1 species